AGACGAACCGUACAAACGUUAUUCGGAAUCACUGGGCUUAAAGGGUGCGUAGGCGGCGCGUCAAGUUGGGUGUGAAAUCCCUCGGCUCAACCGAGGAACUGCGCCCAAUACUGCCACACUAGAGGGAGACAGAGGUAAGCGGAACUGAUGGUGGAGCGGUGAAAUGCGUUGAUAUCAUCAGGAACACCAGUGGCGAAAGCGGCUUACUGGGUCUCUUCUGACGCUGAGGCACGAAAGCUAGGGUAGCGAACGGGAUUAGAAACCCCGGUAGUCC
rnacentral:rRNA from 1 species